rnacentral:rRNA from 1 species
GACGAACCGUGCAAACGUUUGUUCGGAAUCACUGGGCUUAAAGGGCGCGUAGGCGGCUCGCCAAGUCGGGGGUGAAAUCUUUCGGCUCAACCGGAAAAGUGCCUUCGAUACUGGCGGGCUGGAGGGAGGUAGGGGCAUGUGGAACUUCCGGUGGAGCGGUGAAAUGCGUUGAUAUCGGAAGGAACGCCGGUGGCGAAAGCGACGUGCUGGACCUCUUCUGACGCUGAGGCGCGAAAGCUAGGGGAGCGAACGGG